AACAAGCUUCGAUGUAGAAGGCUAGAACAUGAUAUCAUUGUCUUUAAACGAUAUCUACUUCCUCUCCGGAUUGUAUGAAAUGCUUAAGGGUUUUUAGGAAAAUAGUUUAAAGGAUUAAUCAAACCUUGUUGCAGGAAUAUCAAAGCAUAAAAUAUUCCUAUCAAAACUUGAAGAACACGAAGGGAUUUUGAAUAUAAGUGAAGAAUCGAUCUUUGAUCUUGAUUGUGGAAUGUUAAUAUAAAUCUCAAUGUUUUUCUUACCUCUUUGCCUUCAACAUUGAUUAUUUAUUUAUAGGUCACUACCAAAUCGUACGAAAUGGUGCCAAAAAUAUGAUGAAAGGCUUCCAAAUUCAAAUAACAAAAGGUAAAAACGACCAUAAAUAGUAGAAAACUUUGUUCCAUUCGACCACAUUCGUUUACAAUUGAACCGUGUGGUCGCAUCGCAUGGUUCUCCUAGAACCAGGCCUCAAUAUCUCUAUAUAUGCCCAUGCGACCCGCAUAGGUAUAAGUUUUGGCCUCCAUUUUCUUUUUUUUUUAAUUCCUCACACGACACGACACUUCAUCGUUUUUGAACAACCAAUUCUUAACAAUAUAAGAAGCUUGAAAAUAUAAUCGACGGUCUUCACGCAAUAUGAGUUGCAAAUCUCUAAAAGAAUUUCGUAGAAUUGAAGUUUUGACAAAAUGGUAGCCUUUCUAAUCGUGAAUGUUGAGAAAAUGGUAAACUAGUGAAAUAUUCGAAAAUUUAACUCUCCACAGUUUUAGGUUUCUCUUCUCAUAACCAUUGGUACUUGGUUAAGAUCUAGAAUGUGAAAAUAAUUUAUCACUCAAAGUGAAUACUACCUUUGCGUAAUCGCAUAUUAAUACAUUUCUGUUUGCUCGUAUGUAUUUUUGUGUUGAUAUAUAUGUAUUUAAAUGUAUAUAGUGUCUGGUUUCAUCCCUGCAUGAUAUACUAGAAGACUUUUAGGUGUGAAAUAUGUAAAUUGGUCAUUAACAAUUCUACAAACUUCAAGUACUCUUUGUAUAAAAGUGUGUGUGUGUGUAUUGUCUAUACACGUAUGUUAGGUAUUAUAGUGUAUAAUAGAAGAAAUUUUUAGAUGUGAAAAACGUAAUUUAGUCGUCAAAUAUUUUGCAAAAAUCAAGUACACUUUACUUGCAAACCUUUGCAUAUUAUUUUAGUUCGUGC
rnacentral:lncRNA from 1 species